rnacentral:sRNA from 1 species
CAAGUGUCUUCCUUGCAAACCCCCAAGGACUCAAUGUGUGUGGCCUUUGACUGAUCCCCCCACCUCGUGCCCAGUGGUCCUCAGUUCCAGGUUUUCCCAUCUACCCUUCACCCACUGCUUAUGUUUAUAAAAACGGGGUAAAUCAAAUGUUUGUGACCCAGAUCUUAUUCUACAUGCAGUGGAAACAUGUAUGACUUCAGCUUUUUGGAAAAGCAGAACCUUUUUUCGUGGUUCAAGAAAUCAGAGUCUUCCCGAGAGGUCUUUCUGUAAAUCCAGAGCUGUAGAUGUUUCACUGUGUUCAGAGAGGGGCCCUUGUGCUGGGUGAAGUGGAUGGGGCACAGCAGGCAAUGGGUGAAAAGCAGGACAACCUGGGGCCCUGGGAGGACCAGGGAGGGCCCAUGGGCAAGGCGGUCCCAUGUCUUUGACUUGGUCCCAUGUCUUUGACUGUUCAUCAGCCGGCUGACUUUCUGUCCACCUGUUGUCUGCUCUGCCCAUCCAUCCAUAGUCCUUCCGCCCAUCUCUGCUGGUUGCUGCUGUGCUACUCAGCUGUGUCUGUCUGUCCACCUGACUGUCUGCUCUCUUUCAGGAUGCCUUCCGUGCCUUCCAUCAAGAUCUCAAUUUUGUGCGCAAGUUCCUACAGCCCCUGUUGAUUGGAGAGCUGGCUCCGGAAGAACCCAGCCAGGAUGGACCCCUGAAUGCGCAGCUGGUCGAGGACUUCCGAGCCCUGUACCAGGCAGCCGAGGACAUGAAGCUGUUUGAUGCCAGUCCCACCUUCUUUGCUUUCCUACUGGGCCACAUCCUGGCCAUGGAGGUGCUGGCCUGGCUCCUCAUCUACCUCCUGGGUCCUGGCUGGGUGCCCAGUGCCCUGGCUGCCUUCAUCCUGGCCAUCUCUCAGGCUCAGUCCUGGUGUCUGCAGCAUGACCUGGGCCAUGCCUCCAUCUUCAAGAAGUCCCGGUGGAACCACGUGGCCCAGAAGUUCGUGAUGGGGCAGCUAAAGGGCUUCUCCGCCCACUGGUGGAACUUCCGCCACUUCCAGCACCACGCCAAGCCCAACAUCUUCCACAAAGACCCAGACGUGACGGUGGCGCCCGUCUUCCUCCUGGGGGAGUCAUCCGUCGAGUAUGGCAAGAAGAAACGCAGAUACCUACCCUACAACCAGCAGCACCUGUACUUCUUCCUGAUCGGCCCACCGCUGCUCACCCUGGUGAACUUCGAAGUGGAAAAUCUGGCGUACAUGCUGGUGUGCAUGCAGUGGGCGGAUUUGCUGUGGGCCGCCAGCUUCUAUGCCCGCUUCUUCUUAUCCUACCUCCCCUUCUACGGCGUCCCUGGGGUGCUGCUCUUCUUUGUUGCUGUCAGGUAUGGCAGGGAGUGGCGAGGUCACACACAGACGACAGGUGACCCCACCGCACCCCCCCCCCCACCAGAGCGUCCCUUUCCCCGUCUGCAGAGUGGGGCCAGUGGUACUGCCUCCCUGGCUUGCUGGCAGAAUCACAUAAACACAAGCGUGACAGGAGCCCAGGGUCGGUGGGUUUAGGGAGCAUGGCCUGGCUUGUAAGUGGCCCCGUGGGUGUCGGAGCUGCUCUGGGCUCAGCCUCACAGUGGACACUGCUCCAUUCAGAUUCUUUAAGCACUGGCAAGGGGGCGAUGACCACAAUCCUAUUGUACAGAUAAGGAAGUCAAGGCCACUUGGGGACAGCUGCUCUCCAGCCUCCACUCAGGGUGCCUAAGUGGUGAGCUGGACCUAGGGCAGUGCCCGAGCCUCCCCACAGGGUCCUGGAAAGCCACUGGUUCGUGUGGAUCACACAGAUGAACCACAUCCCCAAGGAGAUCGGCCAUGAGAAGCACCGGGACUGGGUCAGCUCUCAGCUGGCAGCCACCUGCAACGUGGAACCUUCGCUUUUCACCAACUGGUUCAGCGGGCACCUCAACUUCCAGAUCGAGCACCAGUGAGUCCUCUUCCCCAGGAUGCCGAGACACAACUACAGCCGGGUGGCCCCACUGGUCAAGUCGCUGUGUGCCAAGCACGGCCUCAGCUACGAAGUGAAGCCCUUCCUCACCGCGCUGGUGGACAUUGUCAGGUCCCUGAAGAAGUCUGGUGACAUCUGGCUGGACGCCUACCUCCAUCAGUGAAGGCAACACCCAGGCGGGCAGAGAAGGGCUCAGGGCACCAGCAACCAAGCCAGUCCCCGGCGGGAUCGAUACCCCCACCCCUCCAUUGGCCAGCCUGGGGGUGCCCUGCCUGCCCUCCUGGUACUGUUGUCUUCCCCUCAGCCCCUCGCAUGUGUAUUCAGCAGCCCUCCGGCCUUGGCUCUGGGCCUGAUGGGACAGGGGUAGAGGGAAGGUGAGCGUAGCACAUUUUCCUAGAGCAAGAAUUGGGGGAAAGCUGUUAUUUUUAUAUUAAAAUACAUUCAGAUGU